GAUGACACCACAUGACUACGUAUACUGCCUAUCCUACUACACCGAGGCUUUUAACUGCUACACCGAGGCUCCCGCUGAUUUCUCCACCAAGACGGUCGAAUACUACACCGAAGCGGCAAAGUACUUUUCUGCCCCAAUCUACACAACCACAACUGAGGCGGAGAAGUAUUGCGCAGUCCCGACUUGCUACACAAAGCUGCUGUUACCUGCUACGUUGAACAGAAUUACUACACCGAUGCUCCAGUCUACUACACCACGACUUACACUACACCUAGCUACAACACCGCAGCCCUAAAGUACUACACCGAAGAAGCCGCCUAUUACACAACUACGUACGCUGCCUAGUGUACUACGUCGACGAAAUUAAGUAUUGCCCUGCUCGAAACUACUACCAAACUUCAUAUUUAUUGCAAUUUCCACGACUAUGUCACCACUGCUCCGACCUAUACACCGAAGUUCUGAAGUAUUUUUCUGUAUGUGUUGAAAGAUUGCUGAAAUACAAGAUUGAUUGAUAAAUCACAA